CUAUGUAUGUUUUUAUGACUGACAGAUCCUGAAGCAAACAUGACUUUAAUAGCCAUCAUUAUUUGGACACUCACAACAUGCCUCUGCAGUUCUUUAGGGCAGGUUCUGACUCAGUCUGAAGAUCAAGCAGUGAAGCCUGAUCAGACUGUUACUAUUCAAUGUAAACAUGAACCAGCAGUGAACUGUAUUAAAGAAACAGGUAGCUCUCAGUAUUGCAUGUCCUGGUUUCAUCAGAUUCCUGGAGAACCUCCUAAACUCCUCAUUUAUGCCACAUCAGACAGAGCUUCAGGUGUUUCUUCUAGAUUCAGUGGCAGUGAAAGUGGAAACCACAUGGAUUUUACUCUGACCAUCAGUGGAGUCCAGCCUGAAGAUUCAGGAGUUUAUUACUGUCAGAGUAAACAUGACAAGGGAGUCUCUGGCACCACAGACUGGGUGUUCACACAGUGUGAAAUCAUCAUACAAAAACCUGUAGAUCAUUAUUCAUUUCACUGACUUUUCCCACAAACACACACAGAGAAGCUCUUUAAUGCUCUUGAUGUUCAUUAUUAUCACACUUUCCACAUUCUAUAUGAACACCAGGACGUGUCGGUCAGGUUUACACAUAAACUACAAUCCUAUGAAAUCCAUCCAGCCUCGAUGAAAGCACUCUCAUCACGGCCAAAGCAAAUGAUGCUUUAACUAACAAUAUCAAUGUCCCAGUUCGAUAUGAAAUAAGCCAGGAUGAUUUUGGUUUUAUUUUGUGUUUGUUAACAACCACAACAGGUUUCCCCUGAUAUUAAAUUAAAUAUAUAAGCUGUUCAUU